AGCCAGACUCCUACGGGAGGCAGCAGUGGGGAAUAUUGCACAAUGGGGGAAACCCUGAUGCAGCGACGCCGCGUGAGCGAUGAAGUAUUUCGGUAUGUAAAGCUCUAUCAGCAGGGAAGAAAAUGACGGUACCUGACUAAGAAGCCCCGGCUAACUACGUGCCAGCAGCCGCGGUAAUACGUAGGGGGCAAGCGUUAUCCGGAUUUACUGGGUGUAAAGGGAGCGUAGACGGCAAUGCAAGCCAGAUGUGAAAGCCCGGGGCUCAACCCCGGGACUGCAUUUGGAACUGUGUAGCUGGAGUGUCGGAGAGGCAGGCGGAAUUCCUAGUGUAGCGGUGAAAUGCGUAGAUAUUAGGAGGAACACCAGUGGCGAAGGCGGCCUGCUGGACGAUGACUGACGUUGAGGCUCGAAAGCGUGGGGAGCAAACAGGAUUAGAUACCCUCGUAA
rnacentral:rRNA from 1 species